rnacentral:tRNA from 1 species
AGCCUCGUAGCUCAAUUAGCUAGAGCGUUGGCUGUACUAAAGACUUCCCUUGCUGGUGUGGGUAAGAAUCCCACCGAGGCCA